GGGUCUAUCAUAGAUACCUUACGAGUCUUUAUAAAUACCCCUAAUGACAUAAUUGAAAUUAUGAGCAAAAAAAUAAUUCACGUAAUUCCUCUUUUAACCUUGAUAUCUUAUACCUGAGCUUCUUCUUUAUUUUUCAUUCGAGAAAAAUCAAUGGAUCUCUCCAUCAUCUCUAUCAGUAUUACCACCAUCUCCAUCUCCGUCGCCACCACAACCAACGCCACCAACACCAGAAUCAUCUCAUCGCCAUCAUCACCAUGUUCUGCUGGUGUUGGUGGUAUUGUGACUGGUGGCGAUGUAGCUAUAAAGAGGUUAGAUUAAGAACGACGGAAUUCAUGGGGUGUUGAUGUUGGAUGAAUUGGUAGUGCAGUUGAACAACAAAAUGAAAUGGGUUCUGAGACAAAACUUACUGGGUGGUGCAGCUGCGACUGAAGCUGAAGUUGAUGAUGUUUUUGGUGGCUUACUGAUGAUGUUUGUUUUGGUGGAGUUCUUGAGCUAAGAAUGCAAUGGAUGUUAGUUCAUAGAUGGAUUCUGUUGGUUGAUGAUUGUCAUGGGAUGUAAUCUGAAUGGAAGGUGAUGGUAUUAAGGAGAUAAAAUGGGUUUGUGUUGAGUGUAUGUGAUAUAAAAUUGCAGGGAAGAGUGAGAUGCUGCUUCCAAGGGUUAGGACAUGGAAUAUAAGAGGGGUAUGGUUAUGAGUUGAUGUUUAUUAGUUGAAUUGUUGUUGGAGAUGGAGCUACAGGGGAUGUGAAAUAGAUGAAUGUUAGGAUUUGCAGGUGAUGGGAGUUGAGCUGCAAUGAACUAGCUGGUGAUGCGCAACAGGGGAUUGAAGUGGUUAGAAUGAAACAAUCAGGAGAAGGUUGUUGGAUUUGAUUUGACAUGGAGAUGGAAUGAAGUCAGCAAUUAUGCAGGGCAACUAUUGCAGGAGGAAUUGAGCCAAGAAACAAGUGAAGUGCAGUGGAUAUUAUGUGUGUUGCUGCUACGGAAUUCAACAAUGUUGGUGGUUUGAGUUACAUUACACUCAAAAUUGCCAGUGAGAAGUCAAGGCAAACAACCAAAUAUGGAAUUGCUAGAUCCGAAGAAGGUGUCAUGCUGAUAAACAAGAAAUACCAAAAAUUUCCGGUCGUGGAUGUCGGCACCUUUAACAGAAUCAAGUCUGGCUAGAUUGAGGUACUAAUUUCUUAGCACAGCUACAUUUCAGAAUCCAGGUUUUUAGUUGUAUGCCCCUGCAUCACUGAGAUUGAGUGUUUGCAGUUGAUUUUGAGAUUUCGAUAUCAGUCGUCUUAAGACAACUUGUGCAAGUUUCCUCCAUAUACGGAGACAACUUUGGCCAGUUACCUCCAUAUACCUCUAUAUAUGAAGACAACUAUGGAGAUGAGAGUGUCGUCUAGUACAAUUACAGAGGAGUUGAUGGAUGAAGUUGUUUAUGAUGUGUUAAUGUUAUCUGGAAUUAAAGAUGCUAUGGAGAUUAGAAGGCAUAAUAUAAGAAGACGGCAAGAUGGUUGUGUUACUGAUACUUAUGUUUUGAAGUCAAAAGAAUAAAUGAAUGCUUAGGAAGUUGAGCAUGGACUGAAUAUGUAUCCAGGCAGUGAAGAGCGGAACAAGGAGUUGUUGCUGCUUGUGUGUUGCUGAUGGUGUUUGAGUAAGAGAUAUGAAAGUGAUUGCAGCUGUUGGCUCAUGUUGCAAGUGUUUGGAGAUGGUUAUGGUCAUGAAGCUGUUGCAGGUAGAGUUGCAGUAUGGUGAAUAUGUGAAUCUGCUUAUUGUGUUUGCAAUUGAAGAUGUGAGUCUGCUUACUGGUGAUGAUAGUGCAGUUGUUAGUGGUGAUGAUAGUGUAGAUGCACUGAGCUAGAAGUGUAGGUGGUAAAUGAAUUGGUGAUAGUGCAGUUGCACUGAGACAACUUGUGAUAUUUGCCUCCA